UGAUUCAAGUGCUGCCUCUCCUCCCGUAU
rnacentral:sRNA from 1 species